AAAGAGAUGGGGCUGAGGCCACCGGCUUGCAAGGGACCCUGCCUGCAGCUUCCAGAGCCCAGCGGCUGGGCCAUGCGGAGAGGAACGGACUGGCUGGGACCUGGCAUGGGUCCAGUCCUGCCACCACUUUGCUCCUGGACAGGGUCAUCUGUGCCUCUUUUCAUCCGGUGAUUAUUGCACUUAUCUAAUAAAUAAAAAUUACAUGAGACGCUAUAAAUAGAAGUUCUGGACAUGGUAGGACCGCAUAGGCAUCAGCUAUGAUUUAAACCACAUGGCAACAGCAUGGCCUCUAGGAAGAGGGAGGCAGCGGGGAGGCUGUUCUGGUGCGAGAUGAGCUCUGAGCAAGGCCCAGACAGGUUGCUGGUUAAGGCAGGAAAGGUGAGUCAUCUUGUUCUCUAAGAUUCCGAGAAGAUGUCCUUAGGGUGAUUUUUACAAUGUUUCUUUGAAUCACCUUUUUCUGCUAAUGAUGACAAAUUACACUUUUAGAGAUAAUUUGAGUGUAUUCCCUUCACUUAGUAAUGUAAUUUGUUGUUUUCAGGGCAAAUAAGAUUCGACGAUGCAGGAAUCUCUGGGACUUUGCUCCUAGGACUGCCCGGGAAUCUUGACCCAUCGCUAAGUAAGAUGGUGUUUAUAAACACAGGUGAGUUUCCUGUUUGUAGGGUUGUCUCGGCAAGACGUGGUUCCAUGAGGACCAGUUUGCCCAGGUGCAGAUCUGUGGUUUACACACAUAAGUGACAUCUGUAGGACCAUGAUGUCGCUCAGAAGCACUGUAGUGAUGGCUGAAAUUAAGCAGCCACAGGGAGACCUUUAGCUACUUAAAGAAGUCCAAAUAACAGAAGAGAGACUGGUGUUGACCUUAGGUGACAAGGCCAAGAGAACUGAGCCAGUAUCUCUGCAGCACAAGCCAGCAAGGCCACAGAGAAGAGGAGUCUCUGUUGACACCACUGCUGCUAUUGUUCUUUUCCCUGAAAAACACAGUGUUCUCUGUUCUUCAUCUCCCUUUACUUAUUUAUUGGAUUUUCUACAUUAUUCCAUUUGCUUAAAGUUCCAAAGAGUACACAUAAGAACACCAUUGAUUGAAAUAAUUAAAACAGAUAGCUUCAAUAACAGCAAAACUGAACAGCAAUGCAGCAGCUGAUUUCUCUUUUGCCAUUCUCUUGGGGUGUGGGUUUUGAAAAGCCAACUUGACUCCAGAAUUUUUCAAUAUGCUUCGCUGUUGGAAAUGGCUAUGCCUUAAGGAAGUCAAGACCAGCCUUGUUCUCCUUAGACCAAGAGACCUGAGGAAGCACCUCACUGGCCCUCACCUGUGAAGGGGAAUUGGCUUCUCCUCGGACAGUUAUGAGAGUUUGCACCCUAGAAGUGAGGUGCAUAGCAGCAUGCUGGAUGUGCUGUUUGCUUUUUUGUAAAUAGGUGUUCUUUUGUUCAUGCAAGAUGUUAGAGAAUUCUGUUUUCAUUUUUUAGGGGAACCUCUCAAAGGAACAAAAAGCAUUUAUUCACUCAACCUGGGACUUCAACUUUAUGGAAGAAGUAAGAGAAGAAGAGGAAGAAGAGGAAGAAGAAGCGGUGGCGGCGGAGGAGGAAGAGGAGGAGGAGGAAGAGAAGAGGAAGAAGAAGAAGGAGGAGGAGUAGCAGGAGGAGAAGAAGAGGAGGAGGAGGAGGAAUGCAUUUGUAUUCCGUCUGGAAAAGAGCUUUCCCUAGGCAAAGCUAAGACACACAGCUGCAGCCUUGACCGAUGACAGCUGUCCAUUUCAGGUCCCACUCAUAGAAAUAAUGACCCGGGCACAGGCAGCAAUUGUAGCAGACGCUAUUCCUUUUUUCUGUGUGUGCAUCAUUUUCGUUUGGUUUGUUUCUUACUCUUUGGUAGGAAUUUCUGCUUGAUGCUCCCACAGGACCUCGGUUCAGCUGGAUCAGUGGAAAACCUGUACAACUUGUCCCUUUAUAAAAACUCCCAGUUACAGUUUUUCUUUGAUAUUUACUUUGGAAUACCUAGAGACUCUUCCCACCCACAUCCCCCUUUCCAAAGACAACAUGGUCGUGUUGGAAACAAAAUUCGGGAGACCAGAGGACUUUGACUGUGGGAAGAAAUGUGGUAGUUUAGGAACCUGCGACUCCUUCUUCCCAGCCCUCCAGACCCUCCAAAGAGCUGUUGACAAGAGCCUUAGAUGAAGGCCCUGAGCUGUAGCCUAGCGCAAUUCUCCUUUGCCUAUCUGAAGAGCAGGACAGGCAGGAUUAGCGAGGCAAACAAAACCUGAAGGACUUCUUAAUAGCCAGACAUCUGAGGCCCUUCAGAACCACUUUGAAGAUCGGGGGUGAUACUGGCUGAGGCUCCAGGUUUAUCAUUUGAUUUGUGACUUUCAGCUCAGGCAGGAGACAGAGAGGAGAGUUCACCAGAGACAAGUCACUUCUGUUGAAUGAGUCACCAUCGCCACACAGCUGCUUGUUCCAGAGCAGCUAUGGUGGGGACAUUGUCUAGGAUCCCAGGAAAAGUGAAAACAUUGACCGGAAUGUUUCCAGCACAAUGAAUGUGAUAACAGAGAAUGAAUAAGUGGAACAGCUCCAACACAGCCAAGAAGAUGUUGCUUUAUGAGAGCUGACUUUCCCCAGAGCAGUGCGCUCCCAUCACAAGGAGGAUUAAUUCAUACAUUUCAAGGCCUAAAUGACAGACGAUAAAUGUGUGUAAUUAUGUAAGUGAGCCCACUGUGUUAGUAUGCAAAGGUGCCCACUUUUCCUGCAUCAGAUAUUGACCCUCUUCCAUGUCAAAAUUCAGAGAGUGACAGCUGCCAAUCUCACCCCAGCAUCCUCACCUGCUAACCAGGUAUCUGUACUCACUCAGCGUGCCUGCUUGGCGAAUCUCAGCUGAGUCAGUUACAACAGGUCCCCUUUCAGACAGGUGAUGAUUAGAAGGUUUGUGACUCAAAGAGCAUGACGUGUUCCCUUUCCUCUGCAGCAGGAAGAUACUCCCUGAUAUCGUAGCAGUGACUCAGCCUGCCAAGACAAUCCAUUUCAUUCUUGUACCAUUCUUGCAUAAAUCACAGUGCAGAAAGCUUGGCAAGAUAAUUUUUAAAUUUUAAACUCGACCAGGAGAACUGUUGAGAAAUAAGACUUCAUAUUGAAGUACGUUUCCUCUCCUCGGAAGCUUUCAAGAGGCGAUGCUGGGUGAAGGGUUACUCCAAGGUAAAUAAAUGGUACUGUACUUGGUAGUAAACAGGAGCUGAGUGCUGAUUCAGCCAGUCACAGGCCGUUCCUUCCUGAAGAACUCAAAAGCUGUUAGCAUGUAAAGUGGGCUCUUCCACAAGGUGACAGAUCAAUCAAACUCUGUCAUCUCCCAAACCUCUUUGAGGCAGGGUUCCAUCAACAGAUACCAUCUUUGUUCACUUUACAGUUUGGGGGGUGAGGAGAAGGGCAGAAAAAGAACUCUCAUUGGAAAUAUUAUUUAAUGUUUUAAAUUAACUCAAAAGAUCUUAUGUUAAUAUAUUAUUUUUGUGAGUUGUUCUGAAUUUAGAUUCGUUUCCGUGUAAUAAUUCAGAUACAAAGCUAAACAUUGCAGAAAUGAUGGCAAAUACUCAUUUAAGGUUUAUUAUGCACAAAACACCAAGAUAUGUGUUUUGUAUUAUUUAGUCCUCUUGGAAACUGAAGCAGAUACUGUUAUUAUCACACUAAGACAGGUGAGCAAACUGAGGCCAGGAGAGGCAUCCGAGGUUACGCAGAACCCAGCCCACGACACACAGCUGCACUCUUUCCCUGCAAGUGACAAAGUUUAGCUUUAUAAGCCAGGAUUGCCUUUCUUUUCACUCUGACUAGAGAAAAAUAGUUCAAACACAGCCAGAAAAAUGUUGCUUUACGAGACCUGACUGACCCCAGAGCAGUGGGCUCCCAUUAUGGGGAGGACAUAUAUAAGAGCCUAAAAUUAUAGCUCUAAAAUUUAUAUCAUUUUAUUAUAUAUUUAUCUGAACUUUUUUUAUUAUUAUUUAUUUAUUUUUGAGAUGGAGUCUCACUCUGUCACCCAGGCUCAAGUGCAGUGGUGCUAUCUCAGCUCAUUGCAACCUCCACCUCCUGGUUCAAGCGAUUAUCUUGCCUCAGCCUCCCAAGUAGCUGGGAUUACAGGCAACCACCACCACGCCUGGUUAAUUUUUGUAUUUUUAGUAGAGACAGGGUUUCACUAUGCUGGCCAGGCUGGUGUUGAUCUGUCCUCAGGUGAUCUGCCUGCCUUGGUGAACAUUUUCUAUAUAUGUAAAAUAUUGUUAUAUAAUUUACAUUUCAGUUCAAUAUAUCAGAGCCAUGUCCUUGCUUUGUGUCUUUGCCAUUCGAGCUGCUGUAACAAUACACAUGGCUUAAACAAGUAUUCAUUUCUCACAGUUCUGGAGGCUGAAAGUCCAAGAUCACGAUGCUGGCAGAAUCGGUGUCUGGUGGGAGCCUGUUUCCUGGCUCGUUGAUGGUGCCUUCUCCUUGGGUCCUCACCCGGUGAAAGAGGUGAGGGAGCUCUCUCUGGCCAUUUUUUCUAAGGGCCCUAAUCCCAUCCUUAAGGACUCCAUCCUUAUGACCUCAUCACUUCCCAAAGAUGGCAUCUCCUAAUACUUAAGAGGUCAGGAUUUCGACAUGAAUUUUGAAGGAACACAAAUAUUCAGUCCAUAGCACCUUCCAAAGAGUUAGAGUGUGUGUUCCCAGCCUCAGCCACGUUGACAUUCUGACGGAAACAGUUCUUUGUGGUAGGAGACCGUCCUGUACACAGUGUGUUCAACAGCACCCCUGGCCCUCACCCACUAGAUGGUAGGUGCAUAUCUGUCACUUGUGACAAGCAAACUUACCUCCAGGCAUUGCCACAUGUCCCCUGCUCGGGUGGGAUGUGGGAAGCCAAGUCAACCCCAGGAGAGAGCCACUGAUGGAGACAUUCCAGGGCAAUCUUAUUCCUGAAGUCCUGUGUCUUAGUUAGAAACGUAAAAUACGUGAGUGGCAAACAACCCAAGACUUCCUUGCUGAACAGCAGGAAAUCAGCCUCCUGUAGCCCCACUCCUCAGUCCUCAGUGGGUUUUCUUCCCUCUUCCCUGGAACUGUGUAAGGAUUCCUGAUGUCUCCACCAGGCCCUAGCCUGACACCUGCUCCUCACGGCUCAGGACGCUGCCCCUCAAAGGCCUGGCCCAAAAUAGGAGCUGAUAAUCUGGCAUGACUUCUUAUACUAAGCCUUCCAAUUUCUCUCUGGAUUAGAUUCUUUUCUCCCUCUCCCUGGGAUAGGAAACAUUCAGAGUUUGACUCUUGAUUUGCCCACCACCCCAGGGCUGUGCCCCACAUGGCUUCUUUGGGAUAUUUAGAAGAAAAAUCCUCAUAAGAAAUUGACUGUGAGGGCCGGGCGCAGUGGCUCACACCUAUAAAUCUCAGAACUUUGGGAGGCCGAGGAAGGCAGAUCACUGAAGCUCAGGAGUUCGAGACCAGCCUGUCUGUACUAAAAAUACAAAUAUUGGCUAGGCAUGGUGGCACACACCUGUAAUCUCAGCUACUUGGGAGGCUGAGGCAGGAGAAUCGCUUGAACCUGGGAGGCAGAGGUUGUGGUAAGCCGAGAUUGGGCCACUUCACUCCAGCCUGGGUAACAGAGCGAGAUUCUGUCUUAAAAAAAAAAAAAGACUGUGAUAGGAAAUGGUUCUCUCUAGUCCUCAAAAUGUUUUUUAUGAAAUAGAUCCCAUCACGAUGAGACCUGCUGCAUUCAUGAUGUCAGAAUCAUCAUACAAAGGUGCACACUGGUGUAUUUAAACUUGGGAUAUGGCAUGCUUGCCUCUGUGCAAACUGUACAUGCCGAUUUCCACUCUCUAGGGGAUCAUUCUGAGGCCACCAGGGGCUACUCUGAUAACACACAGCCCUGCAGGAAGCAGAGCUCCUCCUGGCCUCCCCAACACCCUUGGGGCAGAACAGGAACUUCUCCAAGCACCUGUCCUCCUUCUACUGCAAUUUCUCCUUCACCUUCAGUGAUUGUCUUUAUAUAAUGUAGAGCCCAAGUUCAAGGGCUUGUCUCCAGGAUGAUGCCUUAUGACAUACAAUUUUCUGGGCAAAUUUCUACCUCUUUCCCAUUAAAACCAUGUCUGCAUCCACAGUGACACGUUCCUGAGAACACUGCGGACAGAAGGCGCAAAUGUCUCAUACCUGAACUUAGCCCACGUGUCGCUUCUGUGUUUAUUAUGUUUUUGUUAGAAUUGGUCUGUGUUCAUUCUAAGUGUAAAAAGAACGCAAAUUAAAUAGGAUACAAGAUAUAUGACUAAAACCUUUUAAAACUAAUAUUUAUAUGAAAUAAGACAUUCUGUGUUAUUUUUAGGUGAGGUGAGAAAAAUGUCCUAUUAUAAGAUAUAUAGUUUCUUAUAAUGGAAAGAAACAUACAUAUUUCCCAUUAAAUAACCUCUGACAUUAUUUUAACAUUUUCUACCAAGUUUAUUACUGAUAAAUAGAAGUCAAGAAAUAACGCCACUGAGAAUAUCCUAUAUUGAAGAAUCUUGUUUUAUAAAGCAUCUUCCCAUACAAUGAUAAUCGGUUACUGUAAUAUCUUUUCAAGCCAUACCACUCAGAAAUAUUUUAAAUAUUAUACAACUUUGUAUAUAUAUAUAUAUUAUAUAUAUGCAUAUUUUCUUUAGUCAAUGACAUGAUGCUUUACACAAGUCAAAUAUUAUAUUCAUAAUCUUAGAAAAGAUCUCAUAAAGAACUUGGUAACUAACUUUGAGUGUAUGUGAGACUCUUUCAGGACACUCUUAAGAAAUCAAACAUUUGGUAUUGUGUUCUUUGCUCGAGUACAACUUGAUCAUACGAGUCUAAUCUGUGUUUCCAUGUUUCUGCAUUUGAAUGAAACUAAACUGAAAUGCUUGGAACCAGUGCCUUUCCUCUCUGAAGGCUCUGCACUAUGGGCCAUGUGACUGUUCUCAGAUGUUGAAAGAAACCCACCUCCAGGAACUGGACCUCACUUGACCAAGCAAACCACGCGACACCAGCCUAUGUGUCCACUCACCCUUGAAAGAAUGGAGGGAAAAGCUUCUCCUGCUGGGCUGUGUCCUGCAGCCGGGAAUCCUGGCGGGAGGCAGAGGCCUCUGAUACGCUUCUGAUGGGUGGGUGGGAGGUCCGUGUGUGCGUGCAUGCGUGCAUGUGUGUGUGAGAGAGACAGGAAUGUGCCUUCUUUAUCAGAAGCCAUUUCCUAUGUUCAAAUGUGAUUUCUCUAUUUAUCUACAAUCUCAACUAGAAGCAUAGAAAGAAUUCUCACUCAUGUUUAGGGGGAAAGAAGUCCAGCUGUGUCUAUGAAAGCAUUCAUAUUAUCUCUCCCCCACCCCUUCAAUAUCUUGCCCAAAGCAUUAGACAUUCACUGUAGGUUUAGGCUAAAAACUUUAUUCUAUUUAGCUGAGCGUUUCCAAUAUGUUAAUAGGAAUAUGAGAGAAGCGACACGCUUGAAAACAUCACAGUUAAUUCCUCCAUUGCAAGAUACAGUGAUUGAUUGAUAGAUGAUGGAUAGCUAGACAUAGGCAGACAGAUGGAUACAGAAGCAUAAUAACAUAAGUGGAAAAUGGUCAGAAGUAGCAAAAGUUAAGGGGAAAAUUGCCUUGAAUUUCCCCACUGAGCUACCUUUGGCAGUGUCUAGGAGCCCCAGGAAGCGCUCAGCACACAUGUAUUAAUCAAGUAUGCCUUAAACAUUCAAGCCUGGACACACAAAGCAAUUUCAGCUUUUUUGUGAAAUAAAUAUCAGGUAUUAAAAACAUACUUGGACACAGAACUGUUUUCAGUCCUCGGACAAAGGCCAAAUAAUCUGAGAUGUGCACUGGGAAAAAAAGAAAGGCAGGCUUUCAGUUUCCUUUGGCAUGAAUCCAAUUUGUGCAAAGUGCUGAGCCUCCACAUCCUGGGAGAAGCCUCAGCCUAAAGCCCUCCUGGGGCCACGCUGGUUCCCUUCCCUGAUGGCUGGACCCGGGUCGUCUCAGGGGCUUCCCAGCUGGGCUGCAGGGUCAGCUGUCAGCCAUAAGUGGGCCCUUUGCUUCAAUUGUCUCUGAUGUCGCUAAGCUGCUGCAGAACCGGAGACAGAUACAAUGUCAGACUCCGUCUUAAACCCCAAGGACUGUGUCAGGGCCACUGUCAUUUCAUUCCUGUCUUUCAAAUAUCUUUACAAAUGUAAUUAAUGGGGAAUCAGCUGUCAAAUCCAUCUUUUAAUAAUCAAAUCUUAGGUGGCAAGAUUCGAUUUUGCUUUGGGUUUCCUGAUGGUUCAGAAUGUGUUCCACGCAGCUCCCUCCCUUCUCAGCCAGUUCCCCGACCAGCUCGGGGGAACAACUAUUUUUAGAUCCAGGCAAGCCCCGGAGUGUCAGACGGUGAAUUAUUAGCUGUGACUUCAAAAACAGUCACGGAGAUACUUUCGAAACCUCUGAUUUCUCCAUAGCAUGUGGACUUGAAUUUAUAUCCUGCCUUUACAGCCCAGAUUCCUGUGGUGUAGAGAGAGGCAGGCCGUCAAUGCAGCCCACAUCUGAUGUUCCUGGGCUUAUUAUUAUUAUUAUUAUUAUUAUUAUUUUUUGAGAUGGAGUCUUGCUCUGUCUCCCAGGCUGGAGGGUAGUGGUGUGAUCUCGGCUCACUGCAACCUCCACCUCCCGGGUUCAAAUGAUUCUCCUGCCUCAGCCUCCCAAGUAGCUGGGAUUACAGGCGCUCGCCCCCACACCCAACUAAUUUUUGUACUUUUAGUAGGGACAGGAUUUCACCAUAUUGGUCAGGCUGGUCUUGAACUCCUGACCUCAGCUGAUCCACCCACCUUGGCCUCCCAAAGUGCUGAGAUGACAGGCGUGAGCCACUGAGCCUGGCCUAGGUCUUAUCAAAGCUCUGAAACUACUCCUGGGGUCACACUGGUGAUGCACAGUGUCCUUAGAUCACGUGCCUGCAUUCAGAAGCAGCCCUUGUGCUCUGCACACCCCACUGGGGACCUUCACAGACGCUUCACCUGGCACACACAGCCAAGGACAGGGCAGCACUCAGAGCUACUCCACCAAGCCCGAAACCUACUUGCUCUACCUUUUGCUCUUUCCUUUAUAUUUUUUUUCAUAAUGUGGAGGUCAGACGGAGGCAGCAUAUUAACUCUUAGCACUGACCUGAAUGUUCUACUUGAGCAGGUCUAGGAAAGCAAGGUCUGUAAAAUGCCUGCUCGCGAUUGUUGAGUACGAUGUUUCACAAAACUGGAGAAUAUCAACACAGUGCCAUUCCAAACUCCUUAUUUUAUAGAAAAUAAAUGGAGGCCUGGAGAUGGUAAAGGACUUUCAGCAGGGUUAUGACAAAACCAUAAACCUGAUGAUGCCUGAAGUGUCCAGACUUCCAAAUUCAUGCGGUUUGGAGAAUGUUCUGCCUGACAGCAGCAGGGAGUUGUAAGCAGGUUCAGCGUCAUCCAGAAAUGCUUGUGUCAGACCACCGCUUCCACAGAGGGUUCUGCAGAGAUAAAAGUAGACAAGAUGGCGAGGAAAAGGUUAAACACUCCCAUUCUCUAGGAUUGCCUGGCAUAAUUCUUUGUGCUCAUGGAUGUCAUCGUCAAGAUUCGCGACUGUGGGCAGGAAUGUGCAGGUGGGGGAGUCAGCACCAAUGAAUCCUAUUAAUUCAUGCCAG
rnacentral:lncRNA from 1 species